rnacentral:rRNA from 1 species
UACGGAGGUCUCAAGCGUUGUUCGGAUUCAUUGGGCGUAAAGGGUGCGUAGGCGGCGCGGUAAGUCGGGUGUGAAAUCUUGGAGCUUAACUCCGAAACUGCAUGCGAGACUGGCGGACUUGAGGACAGUAGAGGCACGUGGAACUCCCGGUGUAGCGGUGGAAUGCGUAGAGAUCGGGAAGAACACCAGUGGCGAAGGCGGCGUGCUGGGCUGUUACUGACGCUGAGAUGCGAAAGUGUGGGGAGCAAACGGG